rnacentral:rRNA from 1 species
UACAGAGGUCCCGAGCGUUUGUUCGGAUUCAUUGGGCGUAAAGGGUGCGUAGGCGGUCUGCUAAGUUUGAUGUGAAAUCCCGGGGCUCAACCCUGGAAUGGCAUUGAAUACUGGCGGACUAGAGUACUGGAGAGGAAACUGGAAUUUACGGUGUAGCAGUGAAAUGCGUAGAGAUCGUAAGGAAGACCAGUGGCGAAGGCGAGUUUCUGGACAGUAACUGACGCUGAGGCACGAAGGCCAGGGGGAGCAAACGGG